rnacentral:lncRNA from 1 species
CACAGUUCUCUGUGUCUUCAUGGGAGGUCUCUGUCAGGUCAGGGAGAUCUCUGAAAUCAAGGGAGUUCUCUGAGUUCAAAGGAGGCUUCUGCGAGGGGAUGUGAGGUCUCCGAGGUCAGCAGAGGUCUGUGUGUUGUCAGAGGAAUUCUCUGUGAGGUCAGAGGAGAUAUCUAUGAUAUAAGGGGAGGUUUCUGUGAGAUCAGGGUAGGUCUCUGUGAUGUAAGGGGAUGUCUCUCUGAGGUCAGGGUUGUCUCUCUGAGGUCAGAGAGGUCUCUUGAUGUCAGCUGUGGCUUCUGUGAGGUCAGGGAGUACUCUGUGGGGUCAGAGGUGGUUUCUGUGGGGUCAUGGGAGUUCUCGGUGAGGUCUUGGGAGGUCUCUGUGACAUCAGAGUGUGUAUCUGUGAGGCCAGGGGAGGUCUCAAUGAGGUCAGAGGGGCUUUCUGUGAGUUAGGGGGAGGUCUCUUUGUGGCCAGAUGGUGUGUCUAUGAAGUCAAGUAAAGUCUCUGUGAGGUAGGAGAGGUCUCUGUGAAGUCAAGGAUGUCUCUGUGAAGUAAGGGAUAUCUCUGUGAGGUCAGAGGGGCUGUCUCUCAGGUCAGGGUAGGUCUGUGAGGACAGAGAUGUGUCUCUGAUGGUAGGCGAGGUCUCUGUGAGAGAAGGGAGGCCUAUCUGAUGUCUGGGGAGAUUUCU